UGGGGAAUAUUGCACAAUGGGGGGAAACCCGUGAUGCAGCAACGCCGCGUGAAGGAAGACGGUUUUCGGAUUGUAAACUUCUGUUCUUAGUGAAGAAUAAUGACGGUAGCUAAGGAGCAAGCCACGGCUAACUACGUGCC
rnacentral:rRNA from 1 species